GCCGCGGUGGUGGAGUUGGUAGACACGAGGGACUUAAAAUCCCUUGGGAGCAAUCCUGCGCGGGUUCAAAUCCCGCCCGCGGCA
rnacentral:tRNA from 1 species